rnacentral:misc_RNA from 1 species
GAUCAUUGACAAUAUCCAGUCCCUCAAUACUAUCUGAUUGAGACUGGUAAUUGCAAAUAAAUUCUAUAAUACUUCCACUUGCAUGAAAGAUGAUAUUAAUAGUAAGUUGUACAGCAAAAUAAGAGACUAAUAGUGAGUUUUAGAGUUCUAAUAGCAGGUAACUUUAUAAUGCUUCAGCACAUGCUUACAAUGAUCACUUUCAAUCUCAUCAAAUCACUAGACCAAUAAAUAUAAUCACUGGAAAUUACACUAUUUUAUAGCAGAGAGUUCAACUAGUUGCUCUCUAUUUCCUUUAAACCUUUCUUCAAACUUCAACCUUGAUCUAUAGCCCACAAAAACUUCUCCCAUGAUUAAAUUGUUCCUGUCACAAGGUCAUAUUCAAUCCUUGUGAUACUUCUUAAGUAAAACAUAUUCGUUUAUUAUCAAAUUUCCAUGAAUUUUGCUGCAAAAUAAUUAGAUCUAGCAAUUCACAUAAGUUGGAUCCAGCUAAAUGCCUAGUGCCUUGGUAACAAACAACAUGCUAGAGUCAAGUUCAAAAGAUAUACCUACAGAGGAAAAAAAUGUUCCCUCAAUAAUUUCACCCACACAUGCAAUCAAACAAGACAGAGGAAAGCUUCAACAGAAUCUUGAUUAUAAUAGUGCAAUAUCUUACCAUUUUAGGGUUCUGGUAGGC